rnacentral:rRNA from 1 species
AGAGUUUGAUCAUGGCUCAGGACGAACGCUGGCGGCGCGCCUAAUACAUGCAAGUCGAGCGAGAAGACGUAGCAAUACGUUUGUAAAGCGGCGAACGGGUGAGGAAUACACGGGUAACCUACCCUCGAGUGGGGAAUAACUAGCCGAAAGGUUAGCUAAUACCGCGUACGCUCCUUGGACUUCGGUUCAGGGAGGAAAGCGAUACCGUGGGUAUCGCGCUCUUGGAUGGGCCCAUGUCCUAUCAGCUUGUUGGUGAGGUAACGGCUCACCAAGGCUUCGACGGGUAGCUGGUCUGAGAGGACGAUCAGCCACACUGGCACUGCGACACGGGCCAGACUCCUACGGGAGGCAGCAGUAAGGAAUAUUGCGCAAUGGGCGAAAGCCCGACGCAGCGACGCCGCGUGGGGGAUGAAGGUCUUCGGAUUGUAAACCCCUUUCGGGAGGGAAGAUGGAACGAGCAAUCGUUCGGACGG